rnacentral:lncRNA from 1 species
GUAGUGAAAUACUGUGAAAAUAUUAGUGAACAGCAUUUUGCUGUAAUGUUUAUUUCAGUUAUUAAGAUUUAAAGAGUUAGUCAUCAGGGUAUGUUAGAUAAACAUAGUUAUCAUUUAUUAAACAAACAGAUAAUUUUCUGUUUGCAUGCAAAUUAUUUUAAUAAGUGUGAAAAUAAAAGUUUGGAAGAUAGUAUUUUUACUUUUAUAUCUGGACUUUUUUUUCCCCCAAUUUACACUUUGCUUUCUUGUAAUACCACCUCCUGUGAAUGUGUUGUAAUUAGUAUCACAUUGAUUACUUUAUCAUUUUAAUUUCUUUGAGGCCCUUUAAACCUACGUAAAAUCUGGGUCCAGCCAUAGCAAAGCAAGUACAAAAUGAACAAAGAAUUUUGAAGAAAAGCCUAAAUCUUAAAUUGCUAAGAAAAAACACUGUUAUAUUUAGGCCCGUGAGAGCAUAUACAUGUAUAAACCUAAUCCUAUGCUAGAUAUGAAUAGUCAGUGAGCUGUAAUAUUUCUCAUAAAUGCUAAUAAUGUUUAAAUUCCCAGCUUUAAGAUCUUAGUGUGUGUAUAUAUUUAUAAAAUCUGAAUUGUGUGUUUCUUCUAUGGCUUACUGUGUGUUUCUCUUUCAGCAAUAGGAUGCUCUCUAAAACAUUCACUAGCCUACUAGCCUACUUACUAAAUUUUUGUAUAUGUGUGUUUGUGCACUUGUAUGUGUGUAAAGUUUUUUCCCCAACUUGACACACCUUAUCUCAGACAUUCAAAAAAAGAGAACAUUUUGUAUGGAGGACAGUCUGCCAACUUUUUGCCUCUCUACAGCUCUUAGCCUGUAUAUUUACUGCUUGAUCAUUCAUUAUGCCUUCUAGAUAACCAGUCCAGGUUUUGUCAUAUACCUGUGUCCCUCUAUUCUUUUUAUUUCCCUUUUUAAUUUUUUUUCUUUUUUUUCCCUCCCCAGAAAUCAGGCUUGUGUUGGAAUUCUUCUCUAUAAUACUUUGUUUCCCGCAGAUGCAAAGUAACAAAGUAACUGAGUAAAAUUAGAAAUCUCAUUCUGCACAACUGUGCGCUCAGAUAUUUAACUCAGCCUUCUAAUACUUUUAAGUACGUUUCUGUUAUUUAUCUUUUUGUUGUUUUUGUUUUAAUCCCAUAGAUUGUCAUCAGACAAUAAUAGAGUGAUUGAGAGAGAAAGAUAUAAAUGCCACUUCUAACUUUUUGAUAAAACUUUUUUGAGCAUUUUUCAAAAAUUUGUAUGUUUGUGGUAAUGGGGAAUUAAACACCUUUUACAGCUGAUGUAUGUUGGAAAUCAUUUUAUGUACAUUUACCAACUGGUACUUAUCUUCAAGUUGGAAUUUUCACAUCCAUAAAAGGGAGACUUGCAUCAUAUAUAAUUUUCAGUAUACUUUGCUGUCCAGCCUUUUAAACAAUUACAGUAACAUUUUGAGUUCUGUGAUGAAUAGUUCUAGGGGAAGGGAUGGAACUUUCGACAUGUAAAGUCCAUUGUUUUAAAUGCUAACCCCAUCCCCAAUAUUUUUGUGGAACGUGAGGCUUUAUGAAAGGUUUAUCAGAAAUAGAAUAUUCUAAAGUCACUUUUAUGGCUUAUUUCAAAAACUAGUGUGAAAGUAUUUUCAUGCUUUUUUGUUUCUCAUCUUUUAGCAAAGCUUCUUUACCAAGUUUUGAUUAAAUUGCAAUAUAAAAUUAAGUUUUUUCACGGUGCUAUAUUUUGUGGAAUAUGGGUAGCACUCAGGUUUCUUUCUUUUUUCUUUUCUCCUUCCUUCUUCCUUCAUUCCUUCAUUCCUCCCUCCCCCCUCCCUCCCUCCCUCUCUUCCUUCCCUCCUUCCUUCCUUCCUCACCUCGGCCUCCCAAAGUGCUGGGAUUACAGGCAUGAGCCACCGUGCCCGGCCUAUAUACCCUUAUUCUUGAUUAUUUCUUUUUUCAUCUUUUCAAUCCUGCUUACUUUUAUCCUCACUUUUCUUUCUGCCAUGAAAACUGCACCUAAUUUACCACACUUAAGAUUGGCAAUUUUUGAUUCAUUGAUGGGAGAAGUACAGUAGAAAGGCCCUGCAGUUUAGAAUUAAGUUGUGUUUGUUUAUUUACAUGUAUGCCCAUUUCUUCUAAAUUAAAUCUAGAAUGUGAGACUUUGACAUAUAAAAGCAUGAUAAGUAUUUUCUUAAAAAAUAAGACUAUUGAUACAUAAUGAAACCACCAUUGGUAAUUGAAUUUUAAAAUGAUAUGCAAAAAUAUUUAGAAAUCCAGUUGGGAAAUGUGUUUUUGCAUAUGUCACCAGAUACACAUUAGGCAGUACUACAAAUGUUAAUUCUUAAACAAUACUGUGGUGAUGGCAAUCAGUAAUUUAUUUCUUUGUCCUGUAACUUAUCAUUCUUGUCUUUUGUAAUGUCUUACACAGUAUUAACAUAACUGUACCUUUUUUUUGUUCUUGGUAUCCAUACAUUUUAAGAUGGAAAAUCAGUUCAUAGUUGAUAUGAUAUUGUAUAUGGGCAAAAUGUCCGUUAAACUAAAAUUCAGUAAAAAAGGUAAUAUAAACUGGCUUGAUUUAU